UGAGCAACCUGCCCUUGACUCUGGAAUAACAGUUGGAAACAGCUGCUAAUACCGGAUAUGACCUCUGACGACAUCGUCUGGAGGUGGAAAGCUCCGGCGGUCAAGGAUGGGCUCGCGGCCUAUCAGCUUGUUGGUGAGGUAAUGGCUCACCAAGGCGACGACGGGUAGCCGGCCUGAGGAGGGUGACCGGCCACACUGGGACUGAGACACGGCCCAGACCUCUACGGGGA
rnacentral:rRNA from 1 species